rnacentral:rRNA from 1 species
AUGGAGCCGGAGGACACGUUUCAUGCCUUUUGCAGGUGCCCGAGGGCGGUGGCGUUAUGGCAAGCUAUGGCUGAGAGAUGGAGGAUUCCAACUGCGUCGUCAUUCCAGAGGACGGGCUCGGAGUGGCUCGCCCAAACUCUUUGCGACCUUCCUAACACGGAGAGGAUGGAACUCAUGAUGACUCUAUGGCGCUGCUGGCACGUACGAAACGAGAUGACACACCACAAGAAGCCGCCCCCGGUCGAAGCAUCCAAAAGGUUCCUCCUCAGCUAUGUCGACUCACUUGUGGGCAUACAAAAUAACCCAAGUGCACAUCCACUGAAGGGCAAGCAAGUGAUCGAUGCAGUGGUGCUGACCAAACCCACAUCACAUGCUCCUGUUGCAGCUGGGCCGCAACCUCGAUGGACACUUCCACCUGCAGGCUGGACAAAACUCAACGUCGACGGCUCGUUCUGUGCAUCUACCAGUACGGCUGGAGCGGGAGAAGAGAGAGAUCGGUCCUGUUACUCCAUGCUUGCGGACCAGACUAAGAGGCUCAUGGGAGAAGGGAGAUUAGUUAAGCUAGUGCAUGUACGUAGAGAACAGAAUGGCAUAAGCCAUUACCUUACUUCCUUUGGUAGAACUGAAUGCACCGUCGUGUGGCUGGGUUUAGGUCCAGGUGAUAUCCCUGACCAUUGUAAGAAGAACGGGCUCCUAAGUGAUCAAUAA